UUGAUCCUGCCGGACCCGACUGCUAUCAGAGUGGGACUAAGCCAUGCGAGUCAACAUAGCAAUAUGUGGCAUACGGCUCAGUAACACGUAGUCAACAUGCCCAGGGGACGUGGAUAACCUCGGGAAACUGAGGAUAAACCGCGAUAGGUCAUUACUUCUGGAAUGGGUAAUGACUUAAAUCUACAUGGCCCCUGGAUUGGACUGCGGCCGAUCAGGCUGUUGGUGAGGUAAUGGCCCACCAAACCUGUAACCGGUACGGGCUCUGAGAGGAGGAGCCCGGAGAUGGGCACUGAGACAAGGGCCCAGGCCCUAUGGGGCGCAGCAGGCGCGAAACCUCUGCAAUAGGCGAAAGCUUGACAGGGUUACUCUGAGUGAUUUCCGUUAAGGAGAUCUUUUGGCACCUCUAAAAAUGGUGCAGAAUAAGGGGUGGGCAAGUCUGGUGUCAGCCGCCGCGGUAAUACCAGCACCCCGAGUGGUCGGGACGUUUAUUGGGCCUAAAGCAUCCGUAGCCGGUUCUACAAGUCUUCCGUUAAAUCCACCUGCUUAACAGAUGGGCUGCGGAAGAUACUAUAGAGCUAGGAGGCGGGAGAGGCAAGCGGUACUCGAUGGGUAGGGGUAAAAUCCGUUGAUCCAUUGAAGACCACCAGUGGCGAAGGCGGCUUGCCAGAACGCGCUCGACGGUGAGGGAUGAAAGCUGGGGGAGCAAACCGGAUUAGAUACC
rnacentral:rRNA from 1 species